rnacentral:rRNA from 1 species
UACGUAGGGUGCGAGCGUUAAUCGGAAUUACUGGGCGUAAAGCGUGCGCAGGCGGUGAUGUAAGACAGAUGUGAAAUCCCCGGGCUCAACCUGGGAACUGCAUUUGUGACUGCAUCGCUGGAGUGCGGCAGAGGGGGAUGGAAUUCCGCGUGUAGCAGUGAAAUGCGUAGAUAUGCGGAGGAACACCGAUGUCGAAGGCAAUCCCCUGGGCCUGCACUGACGCUCAUGCACGAAAGCGUGGGGAGCAAACAGG